UGCCUCUUGCGGGAAGAGGAUGUUGUGAAGCCGGCGAACUUGCCGGGGCGAAAACAAACCACCUCGCACGCCCCUGGCCGGGAUUGCUCCGAGGGGAAACUCAUCCCCGGAGCGUGCCAGGAGCUCCGGGAGCGCCGGCAGCCGCGGGGGCAUGGCAGCAGAAGAGACGGCGGCAGGCGGGAUGCGGCGCGGGCAGCCGCGGCCCCGUGACAGGUAUUUGAAAAGAAGCUGAGCACAAUCCUAUCAAACCUCCGCAGUUCCUGGGACAAGCCAGACUUUAAGGAGUCGGAGCCCGAGCGAGUUUUACAAGAAAACAAACAGAAAUACUCCUGUCUCUGCAAAAAAAA